UGUGUGUUAGUGGAAGCGUCUGGAAAGGCGCGCGAUACAGGGUGACAGCCCCGUACACAAAAAUGCACAUGCUGUGAGCUCGAUGAGUAGGGCGGGACACGUGGUAUCCUGUCUGAAUAUGGGGGGACCAUCCUCCAAGGCUAAAUACUCCUGACUGACCGAUAGUGAACCAGUACCGUGAGGGAAAGGCGAAAAGAACCCCGGCGAGGGGAGUGAAAAAGAACCUGAAACCGUGUACGUACAAGCAGUGGGAGCACGCUUAGGCGUGUGACUGCGUACCUUUUGUAUAAUGGGUCAGCGACUUAUAUUCUGUAGCAAGGUUAACCGAAUAGGGGAGCCGAAGGGAAACCGAGUCUUAACUGGGCGUUAAGUUGCAGGGUAUAGACCCGAAACCCGGUGAUCUAGCCAUGGGCAGGUUGAAGGUUGGGUAACACUAACUGGAGGACCGAACCGACUAAUGUUGAAAAAUUAGCGGAUGACUUGUGGCUGGGGGUGAAAGGCCAAUCAAACCGGGAGAUAGCUGGUUCUCCCCGAAAGCUAUUUAGGUAGCGCCUCGUGAAUUCAUCUCCGGGGGUAGAGCACUGUUUCGGCAAGGGGGUCAUCCCGACUUACCAACCCGAUGCAAACUGCGAAUACCGGAGAAUGUUAUCACGGGAGACACACGGCGGGUGCUAACGUCCGUCGUGAAGAGGGAAACAACCCAGACCGCCAGCUAAGGUCCCAAAGUCAUGGUUAAGUGGGAAACGAUGUGGGAAGGCCCAGACAGCCAGGAUGUUGGCUUAGAAGCAGCCAUCAUUUAAAGAAAGCGUAAUAGCUCACUGGUCGAGUCGGCCUGCGCGGAAGAUGUAACGGGGCUAAACCAUGCACCGAAGCUGCGGCAGCGACGCUGAUGCGUUGUUGGGUAGGGGAGCGUUCUGUAAGCCUGCGAAGGUGUGCUGUGAGGCAUGCUGGAGGUAUCAGAAGUGCGAAUGCUGACAUAAGUAACGAUAAAGCGGGUGAAAAGCCCGCUCGCCGGAAGACCAAGGGUUCCUGUCCAACGUUAAUCGGGGCAGGGUGAGUCGACCCCUAAGGCGAGGCCGAAAGGCGUAGUCGAUGGGAAACAGGUUAAUAUUCCUGUACUUGGUGUUACUGCGAAGGGGGGACGGAGAAGGCUAUGUUGGCCGGGCGACGGUUGUCCCGGUUUAAGCGUGUAGGCUGGUUUUCCAGGCAAAUCCGGAAAAUCAAGGCUGAGGCGUGAUGACGAGGCACUACGGUGCUGAAGCAACAAAUGCCCUGCUUCCAGGAAAAGCCUCUAAGCAUCAGGUAACAUCAAAUCGUACCCCAAACCGACACAGGUGGUCAGGUAGAGAAUACCAAGGCGCUUGAGAGAACUCGGGUGAAGGAACUAGGCAAAAUGGUGCCGUAACUUCGGGAGAAGGCACGCUGAUAUGUAGGUGAAGUCCCUUGCGGAUGGAGCUGAAAUCAGUCGAAGAUACCAGCUGGCUGCAACUGUUUAUUAAAAACACAGCACUGUGCAAACACGAAAGUGGACGUAUACGGUGUGACGCCUGCCCGGUGCCGGAAGGUUAAUUGAUGGGGUCAGCGCAAGCGAAGCUCUUGAUCGAAGCCCCGGUAA
rnacentral:rRNA from 1 species